UUUGUGGAGAGUUUGAUCCUGGCUCAGGACGAACGCUGGCGGCGUGCUUAACACAUGCAAGUCGAACGCUGAAACCGGAGCUUGCUUUGGUGGAUG
rnacentral:rRNA from 1 species